rnacentral:rRNA from 2 species
AAACUUUCAACAACGGAUCUCUUGGCUCUGGCAUCGAUGAAGAACGCAGCGAAAUGCGAUAAGUAAUGUGAAUUGCAGAAUCCAGUGAAUCAUCGAAUCUUUGAACGCACAUUGCGCCCGCCAGCAUUCUGGCGGGCAUGCCUGUUCGAG